GCUCACUAAGACACAGAUUGUUUUAAAUCCUUUAUGCUAUACUGCCCAGUUGUUGCAUAUCCUGUUUAAAAAUCGAUGGAUGUUCCUAUUUUUUUUCUCUCAGCAGUCUUUCCUCAACUUCUGAACUCAAAAAUGCAGACGCAAUAUAUUCGAUUUUUAUUUCUAUUCAAACUAUGUCAUUAUUUAUUAUCAUUCGUUGUGCACGGAAUAGGAUACCUGCGUCAUGGAUAAGUCAGCAAAUACAGUGAAUACUGAUUAAGUUGGAUUUUCUCCUUAUAUUUAGGACAGUUUUGUAAUGUAUUGUUUCAUUAUAUUGCUAUAUAUCGUCAAAUAUUUUCUGUUGGUAUAUUUUGAAAAAUAUUUAUUACGGUUAAGGGUCAAAGCAGUUAUGUCUUUUUAAACUUUUUUUUCGAAAUAGAAAAUUAUAUACUGGACACCUGGAACUUUUCGCGGUGAGAAUUGAAACGCUAAAAUAAAACAAUCGCGAAAAUUACAAGAAAACUCGAUUCAUAAUAUUAAGUACGUAUAUGAAUAGGAUAUGUUUAUGAUCACUGUAUAACACCGAGUUAAAUACGACAGAUCUAUUCCUCAUAUCAUAACUCGAUUUCUAAAUUAAAAGCAAUGACAGGAAUCCUUACUUUUGCUCAAGUAAAUAUUUUUAAAUAAGGCAG
rnacentral:lncRNA from 1 species